CCGCCUGCCCGCCCAGCCUGCGGGACGGCAGCGCCGCCGGAGCGUUGCCCUUUUAAGCUGUGGCCCCACUCKCCUCCUCCCCGGCUCCCGGAGGGGCUCCGGCAGCCGGCACCGACCGAGCGACACCGAGCGACCUCCGUCCCCGCCUCGCUCCCCGCGGCCGCGGACCGGGAGCGCGGAGCCCCAGGGCGGCGGCGGGGCCGCGGCCACCGGGCUGCCCCUGCUCUGCCCCCGCUGCUCGGGGACCAUGGGAUGCUGCACCGGCCGCUGCACCCUCAUCUUCCUCUGCACUUUGCAGCUGCUUGCUGCACUAGAGAGGCAAGUGUUUGACUUUCUGGGCUACCAGUGGGCCCCCAUCCUGGCCAACUUCCUGCACAUCAUCAUCGUUAUCCUGGGGCUGUUUGGCACCAUCCAGUACAGACCCCGCUACAUCGUGGUGUAUGCCAUCUGGACUGCAAUCUGGGUCACCUGGAAUAUCUUCAUCAUCUGUUUUUACUUAGAAGUGGGAGGGCUCUCCAAGGACAGCGAACUCCUGACCUUCAACAUCUCCCGGCACCAAUCGUGGUGGAGCGAGAAUGGCCCUGGCUGUGUGAGGAAGGAGGCGUCCAUGUCGGGCAUCAAAGGGCUGGACAGCCACUCCUACAUCUCUGUCAUCGGCUGUGCCCUGGAGUAUCGCUACAUCGAGGUCAUGCACAGCUCCUUCCAGAUCCUCAUCGCGCUGGUGGGCUUUGUGUACGCCUGUUACGUGGUUAGUGUUUUUACAGAAGAAGAAGACAGCUUUGAUUUCAUUGGUGGAUUUGAUCCAUUUCCUCUCUACCAUGUCAAUGAAAAACCCACCAACCUUUUGUUCAAGCAGACAUACCUGUAGACUUUUCCCCAAACAAACAACAUGAAUUUGCAAACUCUUUUGAUCAUCCUGAAGCUACAUGUGUAAGAGGCCUGCGUAAGUGAGGAGGAGCCAGAGGAUGGAUAAACCUUGCACUCCACCAAAGGUGCUGCAGGAAACAGUCCCCUGGGGCCUGGAUCUUUGGCAGAGGAAAUGCAGGAUGGUGAACUCCAUUCCAUUUUUCUGUUCCUUGUCUCCUCUUCAAACGCAAUGAAUGUACAUCAAAGAAUGGCCACRCGGUUGGUUUUUAAUUCUCCAAGUGCCCUGACGAACCUUUCCUACCACAGCCUGCUGGUCCUGGCCCAGAAAUGGCACAGGCCCAAAGACCUCUGGCAGAACAAAUUCACCAAGAGCCUCUCUGCAGAGCCACAGUUUAAGCCAGAGCUGCUUCCUUGCACCACGGAUCCAGACAGAAGGAAGCACUGCAUAACCCCCGGGACAUUUCAUAUGUUCUGUAGUUAGAGUCUUCCCUUACUCUGAACAGAGCCUAAAUCCCCUAACACAGCUUCAUCUCCUCCCUGCCUGUAUAAAACUAGGUGGGGGCUCUUUACACUUGAGUUACUUAGGCAUUUUUGGGUUUUAAGUUAUAGAUGAGAACUCCUCCCUUCCUCCUCCACACCCAUCCAGGACUCCCCUCCUCAUUCUCUGUAGACACAGCAAUAGGAAUUUGCCCUGGAGUUCAGUGCUCUGUAACUCCUGUAAUGCUGAACAGCUGAAAACUUAGUCCAGCCAUCAUCUCCUCACUCAGCACGGAGCCUCACCCCGUUCCAAGCAGCCAAACCAUUCUCAGAGCAGCUGUAGCUUACUCUGGSUCAGCCCAGCUACAUUAAAUUAACCCUGGUGCAGCCAUAUCCAAGCUGAAUCCUGCUGCAGGACCCCAGAAAGGCCAAAUUUCUCGUGGAUCAGAGGUGGGUUCAUACCUGCCUUCCUCACCCAGAGCCACACCUAUUCCAAGGCAACAUCCUGAUGGAAAGGUUUGGUUUGGGACCAAAAAAAGGUUUUUUGAGGGGAGGGAAGGGGCUGGAGGGGGAAUGCRAGUGUAAUUAAGUUGCAUUAAUGAGCUGCAGCAAUUAAUUAAAAAAAAACACAACAAAACCAUGUCAGUUUUGUUAGCUGUGUCUCCCAGCAUGUUCAGUGUCAAAUGCAGAGAAGGAGCAGUUGUCAGCCAGCCCUGGCAUUUUYAGGCUGAUUCUUCCAAGUGCUGUUGUAAUUCAUUAUUGUUUUGCCUAAUCUGUUUGGGAUUAMUUGGCAUUUUUUGAGAAAUGCUUUUCAGAAGGGUCAAGCUAGAAGYCAUGCUAGGGAGAAGUGUGAGGGAAGAAUUAAAAAAAAAAUAAAAUAAAAACAUUAAGUGCUAAAUCAAAGACAGAAUUAUGCAGCCUUUUUUUGUCUCAUUCCAAAGGGCCCAGGAAGCAAAAUCCUCUUUUAUAAGCCCAAAUGUAUAAGCAUUAU